rnacentral:rRNA from 1 species
AUGGCCCUUCUCGCCAUAGGCCUCCAUGCCGUCUUUGCCUCCGCGGCAACCUUCGUCAUGUGGCUGUAUCGCUCUUUCGUCCGGCCGGGAAGGAAUCUGCGGCGCUAUGGCGCGUGGGCGGUGGUCACCGGCGCCACGGACGGCAUCGGUCGGGCCAUGGUCCUCGAGCUUGCGCGCCAGGGCCUACACCUGGUCUUGAUCGGGCGGAAUCCCGUGAAGCUCUCCCGUGUCGGCGACGAGGUCCAGAAGGCCGCGCCAUCCUGCAAUGUUAGGAGCGUGGUGUUCGACCUCGCCGAGGACGCGCUGGUGUCUCGCGGUGUGGCGAGGGUGGCCGCGGCCGUGGAGGGGCUGGACGUGGGGAUCCUGGUGAACAACGCCGGCGCGACGUACCCUGGCGCGGCCUACUUCCAGGAGGUGGAGACUCGGGUCUGGGAGGCGGUGGUGCGGGUGAACAUAGAGGCGGCUACGCGGAUCGCUGGCGUCGUCGUGCCCGCUAUGGCGAUGAAACGGAGGGGCGCCGUAGUCAACGUGGGGUCCGGGUCGUCGGUCGUGCUGCCGGCGUUCCCGCUAUACGCUGUGUACGCAGCAAGCAAGGCGUAUAUUGAUCAAUUUUCUCGAAGUCUAAGCAUUGAAUACAAACAAUAUGAAGUGGAUUUGCAAUGCCAGAUUCCCUUGUACGUAGCCACCAAGAUGUCCCGAGUUGGCGACUCGUUGUUCGUACCAUCGCCGGAGGAGUAUGCCAAAGCCGCUGUUCGGUGCAUAGGUUAUGAGGCAAGAUGUGUCCCCUACUGGCGCCACUCGAUCCAGUGUUUUUUCUCGUCUCUGCUCCCAGAUUUGGCUCUCAAUGCUUGGCGUCUUCGAGUUGGCAUCCGGAAGAGACGGGAGAUGAAAGCUCUAUUGAGGGAGGAUGACACCUGA